rnacentral:pre_miRNA from 1 species
UUGCGUUAUUCAUUACUUUUUUCGUUACUGUAACGAAAAAAGUAACGACUCGUUACUUUUUCCAUUACAGUAGUGAAAAAAGUAAUGGGUAAUGUGCC